GACGAGCGCUGGCGGCGUGCUUAACACAUGCAAGUCGAACGGAAAGGCCUCUUUCGGGGGGUACUCGAGUGGCGAACGGGUGAGUAACACGUGAGUAACCUGCCCUUGACUUUGGGAUAACUUCAGGAAACUGGGGCUAAUACCGGAUAGGAGCUCCUGCUGCAUGGUGGGGGUUGGAAAGUUUCGGCGGUUGGGGAUGGACUCGCGGCUUAUCAGCUUGUUGGUGGGGUAGUGGCUUACCAAGGCUUUGACGGGUAGCCGGCCUGAGAGGGUGACCGGCCACAUUGGGACUGAGAUACGGCCCAGACUCCUACGGGAGGCAGCAGUGGGGAAUACUGCACAAUGGGUGGAAGCCUGAUGCAGCAACGCCGUGUGCGGGAUGACGGCCUUCGGGUUGUAAACCGCUUUCGCUCAUGACGAAGCUUUGUGUGACGGUAGUGGGUAAAGAAGCACCGGCUAACUACGUG
rnacentral:rRNA from 1 species